GCCGCGUGAGUGAGGAAGGUUUUCGGACCGUAAAGCUCUGUCGAGCGGGAAGAAAUGCAUGGUGGCUAAUAUCCAUCAUGCUUGACGGUACCGCUAAAGGAAGCACCGGCUAACUCCGUGCCAGCAGCCGCGGUAAUACGGGGGGUGCAAGCGUUGUUCGGAAUUAUUGGGCGUAAAGAGCGUGUAGGCGGCUGAAUAAGUCAGAUGUGAAAUCCCUGGGCUUAACCCAGGACGUGCAUUUGAAACUAUUCAGCUUGAGUAGGGGAGAGGAAAGUGGAAUUCCUGGUGUAGAGGUGAAAUUCGUAGAUAUCAGGAGGAACACCGGUGGCGAAGGCGACUUUCUGGCCCUAUACUGACGCUGAGACGCGAGAGCGUGGGUAGCAAACAGGAUUAGAUACCCUGGUAGUCCACGCUGUAAACGAUGUUCACUAGGUGUUGGGGGUAUUGACCCUCUCAGUGCCGCGGCUAACGCAUUAAGUGAACCGCCUGGGGAGUACGGUCGCAAGAUUAAAACUCAAAGGAAUU
rnacentral:rRNA from 1 species